GACGAACGCUGGCGGCGUGCUUAACACAUGCAAGUCGAACGGAAAGGCCCUGCUUUUGUGGGGUGCUCGAGUGGCGAACGGGUGAGUAACACGUGAGUAACCUGCCCUUGACUUUGGGAUAACUUCAGGAAACUGGGGCUAAUACCGGAUAGGAGCUCCUGCUGCAUGGUGGGGGUUGGAAAGUUUCGGCGGUUGGGGAUGGACUCGCGGCUUAUCAGCUUGUUGGUGGGGUAGUGGCUUACCAAGGCUUUGACGGGUAGCCGGCCUGAGAGGGUGACCGGCCACAUUGGGACUGAGAUACGGCCCAGACUCCUACGGGAGGCAGCAGUGGGGAAUAUUGCACAAUGGGCGGAAGCCUGAUGCAGCAACGCCGCGUGCGGGAUGACGGCCUUCGGGUUGUAAACCGCUUUCGCCUGUGACGAAGCGUGAGUGACGGUAAUGGGUAAAGAAGCACCGGCUUACUACG
rnacentral:rRNA from 1 species